rnacentral:lncRNA from 10 species
CACCAAGUUGCCAAGGCUGGUCUUGAACUCCUGACCUCAGGUCCUUGAUCUCUGUGGCUGUGAGACGAUGAAUCUAGGGUGUCACCCCAGACAACGAGGCUGCUUCAAAAUCCCAAAGUCCAAAGGAGGACUGCUUCAUAAGGGAAGGAUUGUUUAUAGGUUGGUAUACUGUGCAAAAUUAAGUAUAGGACCAAAAACAGCCAAGACAUUUGAAAGUUGGAAAGUUGAUGGUAAUGGUUUCCUGGGAUUGGAAGGCAGACCUCCUCCGCUGAUGAGCAAAUAAUGAGGCUGUGCUAUGAUCAAGGCAUUGUGACCCCUGUGACCCACACGUACACAUCCAGAAGGUCUCCUGGAGCCAGAAAGUCUGGGACAACAGGAAAACCACAAAAGAAGAAAAACAGCUCCUGUCUUAGCUGAUUAGCCAACCUUGCGACCUUCUACCAUUGUAACAUGCUCUACCCUAACUGAUCAAUCAACUUCGUGACACUGUGCUCUGUGACCCCUCCCACCUUGUGAUAAUGUACCUUGUGACAUUCUUCCCUUGCCCGCAAUAAACGGGCCCUUAUUGUAUCUUUCCACUGCUUACUCCUAACCUAUAAAACUAGCUGCAAUCCCACCACCCUCCGGUGGUGGGACUCCCUUUUCGGACUCAGCCCGCUCGGACCAGAGUGAAUAAACAGCUUGUUGCUCACACUUAGCCUGUUCAGGUUGUCUCUUCAGUUAGACGCGCGCAUAACACUAACAAUUCACUUAAUAAAUAUUUAUUGAGGGAACAGAGGUCGCAAAUAAAAUGUAAUUAGUAUUGCUCAAGAUUAAACUUCUUUCAGCACGUUUGCCUUUUCUUCUUUUAUCUAGUGAGAUGUUGAAACCCAUACCUAGAGUUCUGCUACAGAAAUAAACGUAUCCCACAGUGUUCUUGCGAUUUCCUUUAUGAAUUUGAGAAAAAUAUGACCCC